rnacentral:rRNA from 1 species
AGAGUUUGAUCAUGGCUCAGAUUGAACGCUGGCGGCAUGCCUUACACAUGCAAGUCGAACGCGAAAGUGGGGGCAACCCUGCAAGUAGAGUGGCGAACGGGUGAGUAAUACAUCGGAACGUACCCAGGAGUGGGGGACAACCUCGAGAAAUCGAGGCUAAUACCGCAUACGUCCUGAGGGAGAAAGCGGGGGAUCCGCAAGGACCUCGCGCUCAUGGAGCGGCCGAUGUCGGAUUAGCUAGUUGGCGGGGUAAGAGCCCACCAAGGCGACGAUCCGUAGCUGGUUUGAGAGAACGACCAGCCACACUGGGACUGAGACACGGCCCAGACUCCUACGGGAGGCAGCAGUGGGGAAUUUUGGACAAUGGGGGAAACCCUGAUCCAGCCAUGCCGCGUGAGUGAAGAGGGCCUUCGGGUUGUAAAGCUCUUUCGGCCGGAACGAAAUCGCGUACGUGAAUAACGUGCGUGGAUGACGGUACUGGAAGAAGAAGCACCGGCUAACUACGUGCCAGCAGCCGCGGUAAUACGUAGGGUGCGAGCGUUAAUCGGAAUUACUGGGCGUAAAGCGUGCGCAGGCGGUUCUGCAAGUCAGAUGUGAAAUCCCCGGGCUUAACCUGGGAACUGCGUUUGAAACUACGGAGCUCGAGUGCGGCAGAGGGGGGUGGAAUUCCCGUGUAGCAGUGAAAUGCGUAGAUAUGUGGAGGAACACCGAUGGCGAAGGCAGCCCCCUGGGCCGACACUGACGCUCAGGCACGAAAGCGUGGGGAGCAAACAGGAUUAGAUACCCUAGUAGUCC